rnacentral:rRNA from 1 species
CCUAUGGGGGGCAGCAGGCGCGAAACCUCUGCAAUGCGGGAAACCGUGACAGGGGGAUCCCAAGUGCUCAUGCAUUGCAUGGGCUGUUCUUUGGUCUAAGUAACCAGAGGAGUAAGGGCUGGGCAAGACCGGUGCCAGCCGCCGCGGUAAUACCGGCAGCUCAAGUGGUAGCCGCGAUUAUUGGGCCUAAAACGUUCGUAGCCGGAUAAGUAAGUCUUUGGUUAAAUCCUGCGACUCAACCGUGGGAAUUCUAGAGAUACUGCUCGUCUUGAGACCGGGAGAGGUUGGAGGUACUCCUAGGGUAGGGGUGAAAUCCUGUAAUCCUAGGGGGACCACCUGUGGCGAAGGCGUCCAACUGGAACGGGUCUGACGGUGAGGGACGAAACCUAGGGGAGCGAGCCGGAUUAGAUACCCACGUAGUCC